AAAUGUUUUGAAUGUAAUAAAAUAGAAUAUAUUGCCAAAAAUUGCCCUAAAAAUUAAAAUAAUACCCCCGGUUUUACUUUAAAUUUUAGGGGCAAAAUUAAAAAAUUACGAAAAUUUAACGCCACCAACCACUAAUAAAUAUAACCCGAUUAAUAUAAUAUAAUAAAUUGGACCACUUAUUAUAAUAAUAAUUAUAUAAUUUAUAAUAACGUUAAAACCGACGCAGGAUAAUAUUUACAAAAACCCCAAAAUACCCAAAUUUUGAUAAUAAAAAACCGGGUAUUUUUAGAAAUAAAACAACCAACAAAUUUAUACCGAUAGGAAACCCAAUUACCCGAAUUUAUAAAUUUAAACGUUUUAAAAAAAUUGGAAAAAAAGUUUUUAAAAUAAAUUUAUCGUAUUAAAAUAAUAAACCAAUUUGUAAUAUAAAAAUUAAACGAGAAUUUAAAAAAAAAAUCCAGCGAAAAAAAAACCAUAUUUUUAAAUUAAUAUAAUGUAAUAAAGGAAAAUAACCCUUAUAUAUAUGAAAAAAAAUAUAUUAAUUUAUACCGAAACGACCAAUUAAUAUAAUUUUCCGGAUUAUUAUUUUAGGCACAAAUCCAAUAUUUUAUAGGAUUAAUUAAUACAAUUUUUGGAAAUUAU
rnacentral:sRNA from 1 species